GCUUCGAUAGCUCAGUGGUAGAGCGAGAGAUUGCAGUCGCCAUGCUCGAAUAUCUCUAGGUCACGUGUUCGAACCACGUUCGGAGCU
rfam:Cladophialophora immunda strain CBS 83496 unplaced genomic scaffold supercont1.5, whole genome shotgun sequence.